rnacentral:rRNA from 1 species
AUUGAACGCUGGCGGCAGGCUUAACACAUGCAAGUCGAGCGGUAACAGAGAGAAGCUUGCUUCUCUGCUGACGAGCGGCGGACGGGUGAGUAAUGCCUAGGAAUCUGCCUAGUAGUGGGGGAUAACUUGCCGAAAGGUAAGCUAAUACCGCAUACGUCCUACGGGAGAAAGGAGGGGACCUUCGGGCCUUUCGCUAUUAGAUGAGCCUAGGUCGGAUUAGUUAGUUGGUGAGGUAAUGGCUCACCAAGACCGCGAUCCGUAACUGGUCUGAGAGGAUGAUCAGUCACACUGGAACUGGGACACGGUCCAGACUCCUACGGGAGGCAGCAGUGGGGAAUAUUGGACAAUGGGGGGAACCCUGAUCCAGCUAUGCCGCGUGUGUGAAGAAGGUCUUAGGAUUGUAAAGCACUUUAAGUUGGGAGGAAGAGCAGUUAACUAAUAUUUGACUGUUUUGACGUUACCGACAGAAUAAGCACCGGCUAACUUCGUGCCAGCCGCCGCAGUAA